GAUGAACGCUGGCGGCGUGCCUAAUACAUGCAAGUCGAGCGAAUGGAUUAAGAGCUUGCUCUUAUGAAGUUAGCGGCGGACGGGUGAGUAACACGUGGGUAACCUGCCCAUAAGACUGGGAUAACUCCGGGAAACCGGGGCUAAUACCGGAUAACAUUUUGAACCGCAUGGUUCGAAAUUGAAAGGCGGCUUCGGCUGUCACUUAUGGAUGGACCCGCGUCGCAUUAGCUAGUUGGUGAGGUAACGGCUCACCAAGGCAACGAUGCGUAGCCGAGCUAGGAGGGUGAUCGGCCACACUGGGACUGAGACACGGCCCAGACUCCGACGGGAGGCAGCAGUAGGGAAUCUUCCGCAAUGGACGAAAGUCUGACGGAGCAACGCCGCGUGAGUGAUGAAGGCUUUCGGGUCGUAAAACUCUGUUGUUAGGGAAGAACAAGUGCUAGUUGAAUAAGCUGGCACCUUGACGGUACCUAACCAGAAAGCCACGGCUAACUACGUGCCAGCCGCCGCGGUAA
rnacentral:rRNA from 1 species